rnacentral:rRNA from 1 species
AUUGAACGCUGGCGGCAGGCCUAACACACGCAAGUCGAACGAGUGGCGGACGGGUGAGUAAUGUCUGGGAAACUGCCUGAUGGAGGGGGUUAACUACUGGAAACGGUAGCUAAUACCGCAUACCAUCGGAUGUGCCCAGAUGGGAUUAGCUAGUAGGUGGGGUAAAGGCUCAACUAGGCGACGGUCCCUAGCUGGUCUGAGAGGAUGACGGUCCACCUGGGAACGGAGCCACGGUCCAGACUCCUAGGGGAGGCAGCAGUGGGGAAUAUUGCACAUUGGGCGCAAGCCUGAUGCAGCCAUGCGGCGUGUAUGAAGAGGGCCUUCGGGUUUUAAAGUACUUUCAUCGGGGAGGCGUUACCCGCAGAAGAAGCACCGGCUAACUCCGUGCCAGCAGCCGCGGUAAUUC